AAAAAUUCUAUAUCGAUUAAUGGGUUGUUUGUCAGUCGUUGAUUUAGUCCUGAAUAUACAUAAGGAAAAGUUAAUCCAGGGUGGAGUCGACUCUUUGUAUACCAAGUAUUACAGUAUACCACCACUCGUAAACUAAAUUAUGGAGUGCUGGCAGGCAAAAUAUUUGGAUUAGUAUUUUAAAAUAAUCUGCAUCUGGAUUAUAUAGCAAAAAAAAAGCAGUCAACGCAGCUCUUGUUGUUCGCGGUAACUAGACCGGUGCUAUGUUUACAAUGAAAUUGCGGGUUUUCGAUCGUACGUAUACACAUCUACUAAUUGAUUUGUAUUAGUUAGUGAUAAAUAUUAAGAAAGAUUAGAAAAAUUAAUCAGUAACUUUAUGUUUGGCAUGUGUACUAGAUAAAGUAUGGCUUAUUAUAUGUUCAUAAACAAAAGCGGGAACCAUUAGAUAUUUGAACGACUUUUACUGGCCUUUACGAUGGAGUUUCGGAAUUUGCCAUAAAUACCAAGCAGCUAUUGUUCUGUAUGGUUUACAAGGUUUAGUUAGUUUUUCAACUUCUUCAGUUUGCGGUUUGCUAGAUAAUCCAAAGAAUUCUUUUGCUUCAUUCUUCAGAGUAGAGUCAUCCGCAGGCAUUAUGUCCAGUCGUCCGAGUGUAAAGAUAGAGUACAUUUCUAUGGUCCAUCGUUUUACUCCUUUUAUCUUACUUAGUGACUCCAUGAGUUCUUCUUCCGACAUCUUCUCAAUUUCCGAUUUAGAAGGUAUUUGCUUGUUUAAUGCAGCCUCUGCAACAAUGUGUAUCUCUUGAGACUUUAAUUUUGAAAAGCCACAUUCAUGCAAAGUUUCAACGUCUGUUUCCAUAAUUUGCUUAGGAGUAGGAAACUCGUCAUUGUCUGAGCACUGUGUACAAAAUUUAUUGAUAAUUGAAUUUGUGGCAGCGUCUGAAAGCUUCUGUGAUGUUAUAGCUCGAAUAAUUCCUUCGUAGGGUGCGUGCUCUGGAUGUGGAGUAAGUGUACAAGGUCCAACUUUUUUGACAAGAGACGACCAUUUGUUAUCAAUUGAAGAUAAAUGCUUUUCAGCCCUUUUGUAGUCCGAAUCUUUUGACAUUUUUGUAUUACUUUUGAGUGUAUGCGCUUGGAAUGGGAUGUGUUUUUCACGCUUCUGAAGUUUUUUGCCUUUAU